GACAGAGGGUGCAAACGUUGUUCGGAAUUACUGGGCGUAAAGCGCGUGUAGGCGGCUCGGCAAGUCGGGUGUGAAAGCCCUGGGCUUAACCUAGGAAGUGCACUCGAAACUGCCAAGCUUGAGUUCUGGAGAGGAAGGCGGAAUUCUCGGUGUAGAGGUGAAAUUCGUAGAUAUCGAGAGGAACACCGGUGGCGAAGGCGGCCUUACUGGACAGCAACUGACGCUGAGACGCGAAAGCGUGG
rnacentral:rRNA from 1 species